rnacentral:rRNA from 1 species
GUGCCUUCGGGAACCGUGAGACAGGUGCUGCAUGGCUGUCGUCAGCUCGUGUUGUGAAAUGUUGGGUUAAGUCCCGCAACGAGCGCAACCCUUAUCCUUUGUUGCCAGCGGUCCGGCCGGGAACUCAAAGGAGACUGCCAGUGAUAAACUGGAGGAAGGUGGGGAUGACGUCAAGUCAUCAUGGCCCUUACGACCAGGGCUACACACGUGCUACAAUGGCGCAUACAAAGAGAAGCGACCUCGCGAGAGCAAGCGGACCUCAUAAAGUGCGUCGUAGUCCGGAUUGGAGUCUGCAACUCGACUCCAUGAAGUCGGAAUCGCUAGUAAUCGUGGAUCAGAAUGCCACGGUGAAUACGUUCCCGGGCCUUGUACACACCGCCCGUCACACCAUGGGAGUGGGUUGCAAAAGAAGUAGGUAGCUUAACCUUCGGGAGGGCGCUUACCACUUUGUGAUUCAUGACUGGGGUGAAGUCGUAACAAGGUAACCGUAGGGGAACCUGCGGUUGGAUCACCUCCUU